CAAGGGUUUGGUUUUUAAAAGAGUGUUAAAAUCAUUUGUAUUUCAUUAUCACAACAUUAACACAAGUCAUCAAUUGUGUGUUAGACACCACUCUAUAACCACGGAAGGAUAGUGGAAGAUCCUGCUGAUUUCAUGUUUAAUUUAAUAUUUUAUGAGUCCAGUUAUUUCUUCUUGUCGUCUUUGUUGCCCAUAUCAUUUUCUUGUUGUAAAUUUCUAUUUAUUAGAAAUUUUUUUUUGAGGUUUCAUCUUGUAGUAACAGUUCAGGAAAUGUAAACAUGGAACCAGGUGGUACACGCAGGUAGGGGUAUAGCUUGCAGGGUGUCGGCAUGGUGGAAGCCCUAGCAACCCACCUGGCGUAGUGUUUCCGGUGUUGUCAGGUCGAGGUCAGUGCCUAAGGUAUUGUGUUCUGUCGUUCUCAGGGGUCAGGUAAGGUAGUGUACAUGGGGUGUUUGCCAUUGCGACCCAGUCUGUGAGAUGUCCCCGGUCUCUCUAGGUGAUAUGGUACCCUAGCCCCCUCCCAAGCGCAUCCCGGCUGCAAUCCAGUCAGGUGUCCACUGUGAACCAGGCGGCACCAGAGGUUCCAUUAGUUGCAUUAGUUCCCCCCCAUCGUGAUCACCUGCUUAGGGAAUGAGGGCUUGGAAUUCGGCCCCGUCGGUUGAGAUGAUCCAAUGUGUCCAGAUUGUCAUGUAUGUUUGUUAUUUCCCCUCUGCCUGUAGGGAGAGUUCCUUUAGGGCUUGAAGCUUCUCCAAGGCGUUGGUACCAUAGGGUAAUGGGGGGGAGCGUUUGGUUUUUCCAGUAGAGUGGGAUCAGACUUUUAGCUACAUUGAGGAUUCUAAUCGUUAGGGAUUGUUUAUGGGCCGAAGAGCGCUUUUUGGUGUGAUGUAAAAGAAAUGGUGCAGGUUUCAGCGGUGGCGAGUCGUCUGAAAACUGUUGGAUAAGUUUGUGGAUGGCCAGCAUGGUGUGAUUAGAGGGCAGUCCCACCGUAAGUGUAUAUAGGUACCCGUUUCCCGCCACACCUCCAACACUUAUUAUAGAUGUGCAUGCGCUGUGGGGGUCCGGUACCAUAGUGAAAGCAAGUUAUAAUUACUUUCUUGUACCCCACUAGAGGGUGUGCAAUGUAGUGUGAGGGUACAGAUAUUGGACCACUGUUUAGGCGAGAAAGUGGUACCUAGGGCUUCUUCCCACUUCCCCAUGAAGCCGGCAGCGGCAAUCUCCUCAGUUUCAGGAGCAUGCCAUAGAGCAGGCUUCCCCAAACUCCAGAUGUUGCUGAA